rnacentral:rRNA from 1 species
CCUUUUGUUUAUUAAUUUAAGGUCUAGCCUGCCCAAUGAGGAAUUGAAUGGCCGCAGUAUAUUAACUGUGCUAAGGUAGCGUAAUCAUUUGUCUUUUAAUUGAGGGCUGGAAUGAAGGGUUGGACGAGGUAUUAGCUUUCUUUUAUUCAGUUUGGGGAAUUUAAUUUUUGAGUUAAAAAGCUUAAAUUUAUUUAUGGGACGAGAAGACCCUAUAGAUCUUUAUAGUUCUGUGUUUUAAUAAUUUAGGGAUUUAUAUAUUUGAGGUAAAUGAACUAUUUUGUUGGGGUGACUGUGGAAUUUGAGUAACUUCUAUUAUGUAUUUUCAUUAAUUAGUGUUUUUUUUGAUCCAUAAUUUAUGAUUAGAAGAUUAAG